UGGGGAAUAUUGGACAAUGGGCGCAAGCCUGAUCCAGCCAUGCCGCGUGAGUGACGAAGGCCUUAGGGUUGUAAAGCUCUUUUUGGCGGGGAAGAUAAUGACGGUACCCGCAGAAUAAGCUCCGGCUAACUUCGUGCCAGCAGCCGCGGUAAUACGAAGGGAGCUAGCGUUGUUCGGAAUCACUGGGCGUAAAGCGCACGUAGGUGGGCAGUUAAGUCAGGGGUGAAAGCCCGAGGCUCAACCUCGGAAUUGCCUCUGAUACUGGCUGUCUCGAGGUCGAGAGAGGUUGGUGGAAUUCCUAGUGUAGAGGUGAAAUUCGUAGAUAUUAGGAAGAACACCAGUGGCGAAGGCGGCCAACUGGCUCGAUACUGACGCUGAGGUGCGAAAGCGUGGGGAGCAAACAGGAUUAGAUACCCAUGUAGUCCCUGAGCGGGCUGGCAAGGCGCAU
rnacentral:rRNA from 1 species